GAUUAGCCAGGUCUAGAACAGAAUUAGUUUAAAAAUUAUGUCUUAAAUGCAUUUGCUGUUCGUUUUAUCUGUGUUCUGUUUUCUACACCUUUUGGGUAUACUGAGGCUACAUCUUCCAUUUUUCUCCACCAGGAGCAACUGAAAUGCUGAUGCUAUUGGGUAGCAGUGUAACUUCGGAGGUGGAGCGAUUAUAAAAAAAGUAAUGUUUUGAGUCUCAUGAAAGCUGGCGACAUUUCAUUGUAAUUUUGCUUCAGAUGAUCUGGGCUUGACUUUUCAAAAGCUACACACGUGGAAUGCUUGUGGGAGAUGUACUUAUAAAAUUUGUCAAGCCUUAAAAAUACCCUUGUGAGCACAGAACUUUGUAUAGAUAAUCUUCAUGCUGUGAAGUAAGAGCUCAAGAACAUUGGAGGGUGGAAUGUUGAAGACAGAAAGAAACAAAAGGCUAAGCAAUUUUGUAGGGUUCCAUUGGGGUGGAUGGCACUGGAGUGUUAGAGCUUUCUACGCCUUUCCUACAACCUGUUCAAGAGCCAGGUAGAGUUGCACUUUUUGCCUGCAGGAUGCCUAUGGAUAGGUGUGGCUUCACAUUGUCUUUUGUG
rnacentral:lncRNA from 1 species